rnacentral:rRNA from 1 species
UACAGAGGGUGCGAGCGUUAAUCGGAAUUACUGGGCGUAAAGCGCACGUAGGCGGCUUGGUAUGUCGGGUGUGAAAUCCCCGGGCUCAACCUGGGAACUGCAUCCGAAACUGCCUUGCUCGAGUAUGGGAGAGGGAAGUGGAAUUUCCGGUGUAGCGGUGAAAUGCGUAGAUAUCGGAAGGAACAUCAGUGGCGAAGGCGACUUCCUGGACCAAUACUGACGCUGAGGUGCGAAAGCGUGGGGAGCAAACAGGG